UGGGGGAUAUUGCACAAUGGGCGCAAGCCUGAUGCAGCGACGCCGCGUGGGGGAUGAAGGCCUUCGGGUUGUAAACUUCUUUUGCUCUGAACAAGGCGCACUUUGGGGUGUGUUGAGUGUAGGGGUUGAUUAGCGCCGGCUAACUACGUGCCAGCAGCCGCGGUAAUACGUAGGGCGCGAGCGUUGUCCGGAAUUAUUGGGCGUAAAGGGCUUGUAGGUGGCUGGUUGCGUCUGUCGUGAAAGCUCAUGGCUUAACUGUGGGUUUGCGGUGGGUACGGGCUGGCUUGAGUGCAGUAGGGGAGGCUGGAAUUCCUGGUGUAGCGGUGGAAUGCGCAGAUAUCAGGAGGAAUACCGGUGGCGAAGGCGGGUCUCUGGGCUGUUACUGACACUGAGGAGCAAAAGCAUGGGGAGCGAACAGG
rnacentral:rRNA from 1 species